GUGGGGAAUUUUGGACAAUGGGGGCAACCCUGAUCCAGCAAUGCCGCGUGCAGGAAGAAGGCCUUCGGGUUGUAAACUGCUUUUGUACGGAACGAAAAGGCUCUGGUUAAUACCUGGGGCACAUGACGGUACCGUAAGAAUAAGCACCGGCUAACUACGUGCCAGCAGCCGCGGUAAUACGUAGGGUGCAAGCGUUAAUCGGAAUUACUGGGCGUAAAGCGUGCGCAGGCGGUGCUGUAAGACAGGCGUGAAAUCCCCGGGCUUAACCUGGGAAUGGCGCUUGUGACUGCAGUGCUGGAGUGUGGCAGAGGGGGAUGGAAUUCCGCGUGUAGCAGUGAAAUGCGUAGAUAUGCGGAGGAACACCGAUGGCGAAGGCAAUCCCCUGGGCCUGCACUGACGCUCAUGCACGAAAGCGUGGGGAGCAAACAGGAUUAGAUACCCGGGUAGUCC
rnacentral:rRNA from 1 species